rnacentral:rRNA from 1 species
UGCUCCUUGGGUGACGAGUGGCGGACGGGUGAGUAAUGUCUGGGAAACUGCCCGAUGGAGGGGGAUAACUACUGGAAACGGUAUCUAAUACCGCAUAACGUCACAAGACCAAUGUGGGGGACCUUCGGGCCUCACACCAUCAGAUGUGCCCAUAUGGGAUUAUCUAGUAUGUGGGGUAAUGGCUCACCUACGCGACUAUCCCUAUCUGGUCUGAGAGGAUGACCAGCCACACUGGAUCUGACACACGGUCCACACUCCUACGGGAGGCAGCUGUGGGGAAUAUUGCACAGUGGGCGCACGCCUGAUGCACCCGUGCCGCGUGUAUGAAGAACGCCUUCGGGUUGUAAAGUACUUUCAGUGGGGAGGAACGCGUUAAUGUUAAUAGCCUUGGCGAUUGACGUUACCCGCAAAAGACGCACCGGCUAACUCCGUGCCAGCAGCCGCGGUAAUACAGAGGGUGCACGCGUUAAUCAGAUUUACUGCGCGUAAAGCGCACGCACGCUGUCUGUCAUGUCAGAUGUGAUAUCCCCGGUCUCAACCUGGGAACUGCUUUCGACACUGGCACGCUAGACUCUUGUAGAGGGGGGUAGAAUUCCAUGUGUAGCGGUGAAAUGCGUAGAUAUCUGGAAGAAUACCUGUGG